rnacentral:rRNA from 1 species
GAAUUUUGGACACUGGGCGCAAUCCUGAUCCCGCACUGCGGCGUGAAGGAUGAAGGCCUUCGGGUUGUAAACUGCUUUUGUUCUGAACGAAAAGCUUUGGGUUCAUACCCUGGAGUCAUGACGGUAUCGUAAUAAUAAGCGCCUGCUACCUUCGUGGCAGCAGCCGCGGUAAUACGUAGGGUGCAAGCGUUAAUCGGAAUUACUGGGCGUAAAGCGUGCGCAGGCGGUAUUGUAAGACAGCGGUCAAAUCCCCGGGCUCAACCUGGGAACUGCCUUUGUGACUGCAAGGCUAGAGGACGGCAGGGGGGGGUGGAAUUCCGCGUGUAGCAGUGAAAUGCGUAGAUAUGCGGAGGAACACCGAUGGCGAAGGCAACCCCCUGGGCCUGUACUGACGCUCAUGCACGAAAGCGUGGGGAGCAAACA